GUGCGGGACUCUGUGUUGGGGGCUGAGGGUGCGGGUCUCUGUGUUGGGGGCUGAGGGUGCGGGACUCUCCAUGUUAGGGGCUGAGGGUGCGGGACUCUGUGUUGGGGGGCUGGAGGGCGUGGGACUCUCCGUGUUGGGGCUGAGGGUGCGGGACUCUCCGUGUUGGGGUGGUCUGAUGGUUGCAGGACUCUCCGUCUUGGGGGCAUGAGGGU
rnacentral:lncRNA from 1 species